rnacentral:rRNA from 1 species
AUGACGCUGGCGGGAUGCUUUACACCUGCAAGUCAAACGGCAGCACGGACUUCCGCCCUGGGUGGCUUGAGUGGCGAACGGGUGAGUAUACAUCGGAACGUGCCCAGUCGUGGGGGAUAACGUAGCGAAAGCUACGCUAAUACCGCAUACGAUCUAAGGAUGAAAGCGGGGGAUCGCAAGACCUCGCGCGAUUGGAUGCGGCCGAUGGCAGAUUACUGUAGUUGGUAGGGUAAAGUGCCUACCAAGCCGACGAUCUGUAGCUGGUCUGAGAGGACGACCAGCCACACUGGGACUGAGACACGGCCCAGACUCCUACGGGAGGCAGCAGUGGGGAAUUUUGGACAAUGGGCGAAAGCCUGAUCCAGCCAUUCCGCGUGCAGGAUGAAGUGCCCUCGGGUUGUAAACUGCUUUUGUACGGAACGAACAAGGUCCUGGUUAAUACCUGGGGCUCAUGACGGUACCGUACAGAAUAAGCACCGGCUAACUACGUGCCAGCAGCCGCGGUAAUACGCUAGCGGUGCACAGCGUUACAUCGGAAUUACUGGUGCGUACAAGCGUGCGCAGGCGGUAGAUGUAACGACAGAGGUGAAAUCCCCGGGGCUCACCUGGGAACUGCCUUUGUGACUGCCAUCCGGCUGGAAGUACGGGCAGAAGGGGGAUGGAAAUUUCCGGCGCGUGUAGCAGCUGAAAAUGCC